CAGUAGUCCGCGCCUCGCCCAGCCUCAGCUCAGGUGCCAUUGUCCUUUCGCGCCUCAGGGGAGUUUGGGGUCCCGUUCAAUUGGUUUGUCCUCUGGGUCCAGUCUUGUAUGGCAAAGAUUCAUCUAAUAUAUCUCUUUGUGCAGUCAUAGUCCAUUACGUUGCUAUACCACAGUUUAUUCAUCCAUUCCUGGUCGUUGGACAUAUGACAGGACUGAAACUGAGAGCAUGGAGUCUGUUCCGAAGUGGGAAAUUUCUGAAGAAGUCCAAUCACAGGGCAUAUUAUCAUCAGGAUUCCCAAGGAACAUUCUCCUGGGUCCCAACUGUGGACAAGCCUCUGGCAGUGAUUGUAGGUUAGAGACAAAGCCUAAGAUGCCACUGCAACACAGUCUCUCGUUAUGUUGCUCAGGAAAAAGGUUUCAGAACUAUAACAUUUAGCAGAAGAAUGUCCUCACUGGGAUGAGAGGCUGUGUGUGUGUGUUUUCAAAUGUGAGACAAUUUAACAAAAGAGAGAUCCCGUAGGAGGGAGAGCCCAGGAAUAUGGUUUAGAUGACCACAGCUUCAAGCAGAAUGUACAGUUUUUAAGAUGACAGAGAGAAGCUCUAUGAAACGAAUCUGGGGAGAAAACCCCAAACAACCUCCUACAAAAGUUAAAUCAGAACUUAACUCAUCAUCAGAAAAGACAUAGGACAGUGUAAUGAAUGUGAGAAAGGACCAACUCAAACCAUAUCUGACCCCCAGAAAAUGCCUACUAAAAAGAGACCUUAUGAAUAUAAAGACUAGAGAAGAGUCUCCAGCAGGAGCUCAUCUGACCUUAAACAUCAGAGAAUCUACAGUGAAAUUAAAUCCUAGAAAUGUAAUGAGUGUGGAGAAACCUUUAGCAGUAGCUUUUUGAAUUCCAGAGAAUUGACAGUGGAGAGAAGCUCUGUGAAGAUAAUGGAUGUGGGAAAGCCUUCUAUUGAUUCAAACCUCAUUAGAUAUCAGAAUUUACAGUGGAGCCCCGAGAAUGUAAUUAAUGUGGGAAGCUCUUCAAGAGUAGAGUUCAGCAUGCCUUGAUCAGAGAAUUCAAGCUAGAUUGACUUUCUGUGUAAUGAAUAUGGGAAAGCCUUCAUGGAGCACAUCUUGAUUGCACUUGAGCUAAGUCAUAUUUGAGAAAUAUCCUAUGAAUGGAAAGAAUGUUGGAAAAUCUUCAGGUAGAUCUUUGAUGCUAUUAAAUGUCAGAGUGGAAAGAAACCCUUGUGAAUGUAAACAGUGUGUUUAAGGCCUCAACUAGAGCUUGGACCUCAUUCCGCAUCAGAAAAUUCAAACCUGAUAUUGGAACCUUUGAAUGCAAUUAAUUUAGGAAUGGGACCUACAGAUUUGUUGCAUCUCAAAGUAUCCAGACUAGCACUAGAUUUUCUAAAACUUUGACACUAAGGACCCUGAUAUUCCCAGGGUAAAAGACUAGAACCUGCGAGUUUCUUUCUUGAAUCAACUGCUCUCCCUAAGCACUCUUACUACAGUGAGCCCUGUAGAAGCUGCCUUCCCUGAAUAUUAUCAAGUUGAUGACCUCGAACAUAUGAAACAACCCUUUCAAGCCUCUUGAAGAAGUCAUACCCCCGUCAGCUUAGCUUUUACCUGUUGACCACCUCUCUUUUUAGUGUGACCUGCCUUGUUCUUUUUCCCAACAACAUCAACAGAAACAAAGCACCAGGUUGGGACCUGUGUUCCACCCACAUCCACAGAGGCUCCUCCUAGCUCAAGCCAAGGAAUUUUGCCUCAACUACUUGACAGGAUGGGGAGGGUGUCUCAAUGUUGGGAAAACUUUUGAUUAUCUUUGCUUAUCAACUUUGUGCUAUUGCUGUCUUGGGUUUGGGGUAGUGCCUAUCUAUGUGUGCUUUCUGGGAUGUUUGGGAAACGGGCAAGUUUUAUAAGAUUGUUUAGACACCUGUUACUGCAGUUUUAUGUUCCAUCCUGUGUUUUGGCAAAGGUUUGUGUAGACCUUCCUUAUGGUAGAACGAAGCCCUCACCUUUUACUAAGGAAAGAGACUUUAUUUUCUUGGGAUGUUUUCUUAAUGAUUAGAAACUAGAGGGCAGGGAUCAAGGAAGGGAGGGGAGCUUUGGAUUUGGAAAGUUUACUGGCACUGGAAUGACAACGUGGAUGUAUUUAAUGCUGGAAGUUCAGGACAAUCAGGGCUGAACCCUUGUGCCCUGUACAGGUGGGGCAUACCCUAGUUUGACAACCCUAGAUUGAGUUAGUAGCUAUUUGAGAGAUCUGUAUCCAUAUAUAUGUGUGUAUAUGGACAGAUAGAUAGAUAUCUGUAUAUGUGUGUGCGUGUGCGUGUGUGUGUGUGUAUACAUAUAUAUAUAUAUAUAUAUAUAUCCCCAAUCUCUGAACUUUACAUUUUUGACCUGUGGGACCAGAUAAACUUUUACUACCUGUCUGUAUAAAGUCAUAUAUAUCUAUAUGGACCCUGCAGGCUCAGCCUUGUUGGUUGGUGGAAAACGCACCUCUGCAGGACCAAGUCUGCUAACUAUCUGGGCAGUGCACCUCGAAAGCACAACUCCAGGACGCAUGGACCCUACACACUCACUUGUUUUCGAGGAUCGAAUGCUGGAUCACUACUCUCAAAAUUUGACUCUACCUUAAAAUUGUUCCCUGGGCUUCUAGCCCCAACCUUACUGUUGAUACAGCUAUAUCUAUCCAGUGGUUUUUGAAUAGAUCCUCUCUGGGUGUGCUGUCAUUACCGUGAUGUAGGGCUUUUUAAUUCUUCUGGGCUGCAGCCUGGUGUUGGACUCCUAUGCAGCUGGGGAAGUAGAAGUCAGAUAAACUUGCGAAGACCUACAGCACAAGGAAGCUGCUAACUGCUGAGUCCAGCACCCAUGCUAAGGCCCUGAAACUGUUCUAGACUUUCAAGCCUCUUCAAGUUAUGUGCCCAGGAUCUCAAUCAUAAGAAGUUAUGGUAGUCCACCAAGUAGGAGGUCUCAAAAGACCUGAAUGGGAAUAACCUUGUUCAGGUUUGGGUUUCAGAGACUCAUAACCCAGUACCUCCAAAUUGAAAGGCAAAUACACUCCUUGGGGGAGUUCUCUCCCUAGAUUGUAUUGGCUCAUCACUCUUAGCUUAGUGUUGCAUCUAGACAGGGCCAGACUACUGUAUCUGGGCUUGACCAACUCCCACCUUACCCAAGCCGAGAAGAAACCCCUGACUGGUCACUUUGUGUCUGUAUUGUGACGGCAUCUGCCAUUAUAUUUAUAGCUUUCUGUAAAAAUACCCUAUUCCAUAAGCAGAGGAAACCCCUAUCAUGGCAGUCUAAGCUAGCUGAGUCCUCUGUAAGUAAAGCUUCCAUAUAUCACUUGCAAUUGUUAGUAAGAUUCCAUGUGCUAGGCCGGCAGUCCUCAUGGCUUUGAGUACUGGUAGACUCAGUGUUACUCAAGGUUUAGGGAUUGGCAUUACAUGGCCCUUGCCUUCAAAUGGGGACAAGAAAUGGUAUGGUUGAAUAAAAAAAAACCCUUUGUAUCUAAGCACGGGGUCCAGGCUAGGUAGAGAGAUAAAUGACUUGGGAGGAUUGAGUGGAUGGGAAGUCAGAGUGAAGGUGAAACUCAGAUUCAGAGUCAGCAAAUGGGAAUGUUAAAAGUUAGGAAGUUCUAAAUGGGAAUUUUUCAGAAAAGUAAAUAACGGGAUGGCAGGCAGAAGUAUAUGAAUUGAAGAGAUUAAGGAACUUGAAGGUCAGAGUAUUAGAGGGCCAUCAGUAUGGAUUCAGCAGUCACUGAGGAUGAAGAGGAAGACAGCCAUUUGUUGAUAACAUUAAGCAGGAUUGGCAAAUAUCCUGUAACUCAAUAGAUCAUAUUUUCAUAGUGCACACUUGAAAAGUUGCUGAGUGUAGUUUUCUUCGACUAAUGUAUUUGUGUUUGCUUUUUAAUUGCUCUUUGGUAUUCUUGAAACUUUAUUUUAGGGGGGUAUAAAAUGGUUUUCUGAACAUUUCUCUGAACUUAGAUUUUUUCAUUAUAUUAAAUGUAGGCUUUGACAUCUCAGAUUUGUCACAUGUCUUGUUUAUUAUUGUGAUUUGCUUUCCUAAUGUUAGAAAAAAUAUAUAGUUCAUUAAACCAUGCAUUUAAAGAUGA